rnacentral:rRNA from 1 species
GACGAACGCUGGCGGCGUGCCUAAUACAUGCAAGUUGAGCGCUGAAGGUUGGUACUUGUACCAACUGGAUGAGCAGCGAACGGGUGAGUAACGCGUGGGGAAUCUGCCUUUGAGCGGGGGACAACAUUUGGAAACGAAUGCUAAUACCGCAUAAAAACUUUAAACACAAGUUUUAAGUUUGAAAGAUGCAAUUGCAUCACUCAAAGAUGAUCCCGCGUUGUAUUAGCUAGUUGGUGAGGUAAAGGCUCACCAAGGCGAUGAUACAUAGCCGACCUGAGAGGGUGAUCGGCCACAUUGGGACUGAGACACGGCCCAAACGCCUACGGGAGGCAGCAGUAGGGAAUCUUCGGCAAUGGACGAAAGUCUGACCGAGCAACGCCGCGUGAGUGAAGAAGGUUUUCGGAUCGUAAAACUCUGUUGGUAGAGAAGAGCGUUGGUGAGAGUGGAAAGCUCAUCAAGUGACGGUAACUACCCAGAAAGGGACGGCUAACUACGUG